rnacentral:rRNA from 1 species
CGCGUAGGCGGCCUUGUAAGUCGCGUGUGAAAGGCCGGGGCUCAACCCCGAGCAUUGCACGCGAUACUGCAUGGCUAGAGAGAGGUAGGGGCGAGCGGAAUUCCCGGUGUAGCGGUGGAAUGCGUAGAUAUCGGGAAGAACACCUGUGGCGAAGGCGGCUCGCUGGACCUUUUCUGACGCUGAAGCGCGAAAGCGUGGGGAGCAAACA